UGGGGAAUAUUGGACAAUGGGGGCAAGCCCUGAUCCCAGCAAUGCCGCGUGAGUGAUGAAGGCCUUAGGGUUGUAAAGCUCUUUCGCCCGCGACGAUGAUGACGGUAGCGGGAGAAGAAGCCCCGGCUAACUUCGUGCCAGCAGCCGCGGUAAUACGAAGGGGCGAGCGUUGUUCGGAAUUACUGGGCGUGAAAGGGCGCGCAGGCGGCCUAAGAAGUCAGAUGUGAAAGCCCGGCGUCACCACUGGGAAUUGCAUUUGAUACUCUGAGGCUUGAGGACGGGAGAGGAGAGUGGAAUUCCCAGUGUAGAGGUGAAAUUCGUAGAUAUUGGGAAGAACACCGGUGGCGAAGGCGGCUCUCUGGACCGUAUCUGACGCUGAGGCGCGAAAGCGUGGGGAGCAAACA
rnacentral:rRNA from 1 species